rnacentral:rRNA from 1 species
CCUACGGGGGGCAGCAGUGAGGAAUAUUGGUCAAUGGCCGGAAGGCUGAACCAGCCAUGCCGCGUGAAGGUCAGUGCCCUAUGGGCGUUAAACUUCUUUUGUGCGGGAGCAAUAAUGGUCACGUGUGGCCAGACGAGAGUACCGUACGAAUAAGCAUCGGCUAACUCCGUUCCAGCAGCCGCGGUAAUACGGGGGAUGCAAGCGUUAUCCGGAUUUAUUGGGUUUAAAGGGUGCGUAGGCUGUGAGGUAAGUCAGCGGUGAAAUGCCCCCGCUCAACGGGGUGAAGUGCCAUUGAUACUGGCUGGCUGGAAUGCGGAUGCCGUGGGAGGAAUGUGUGGUGUAGCGGUGAAAUGCAUAGAUAUCACACAGAACACCGAUUGCGAAGGCAUCUCACGAAUCCGCGAUUGACGCUGAUGCACGAAAGCGUGGGUAUCAAACAGGAUUAGAUACCCUUGUAGUC